rnacentral:rRNA from 1 species
UGGGGAAUCUUGGACAAUGGGGGCAACCCUGAUCCAGCCAUGCCGCGUGAGUGAUGAAGGCCUUAGGGUCGUAAAGCUCUUUCGCCUGUGAAGAUAAUGACGGUAGCAGGUAAAGAAACCCCGGCUAACUCCGUGCCAGCAGCCGCGGUAAUACGGAGGGGGUUAGCGUUGUUCGGAAUUACUGGGCGUAAAGCGCACGUAGGCGGACCAGAAAGUUGGGGGUGAAAUCCCGGGGGCUCAACCCCGGAACUGCCUCCAAAACUAUUGGUCUAGAGUUCGAGAGAGGUGAGUGGAAUUCCAAGUGUAGAGGUGAAAUUCGUAGAUAUUUGGAGGAACACCAGUGGCGAAGGCGGCUCACUGGCUCGAUACUGACGCUGAGGUGCGAAAGUGUGGGGGAGCAAAACAGGAUUAGAUACCCCUGGUAGUCCACACCGUAAAACGAUGAAUGCCCAGUCGUCGGGUAGCAUGCUAUUCGGUGACACACCUAACGGAUUAAGCAUUCCGCCUGGGGAGUACGGUCGCAAGAUUAAAACUCAAA